UUUAUAUGAGAGUUUGAUCCUGGCUCAGGAUGAACGCCGGCGGUGUGCCUAAUACAUGCAAGUCGAACGCGUUGGCCCAAUUGAUUGAUGGUGCUUGCACCUGAUUGAUUUUGGUUGCCAGCGAGUGGCGGACGGGUGAGUAACACGUAGGUAACCUGCCCAGAAGCGGGGGACAACAUUUGGAAACAGAUGCUAAUACCGCAUAACAGCGUUGUUCGCAUGAACAACGCUUAAAAGAUGGCUUCUCGCUAUCACUUCUGGAUGGACCUGCGGUGCAUUAGCUUGUUGGUGGGGUAACGGCCUACCAAGGCGAUGAUGCAUAGCCGAGUUGAGAGACUGAUCGGCCACAAUGGGACUGAGACACGGCCCAUACUCCUACGGGAGGCAGCAGUAGGGAAUCUUCCACAAUGGGCGCAAGCCUGAUGGAGCAACACCGCGUGAGUGAAGAAGGGUUUCGGCUCGUAAAGCUCUGUUGUUAAAGAAGAACACGUAUGAGAGUAACUGUUCAUACGUUGACGGUAUUUAACCAGAAAGUCACGGCUAACUACGUGCCAGCAGCCGCGGUAAUACGUAGGUGGCAAGCGUUAUCCGGAUUUAUUGGGCGUAAAGAGAGUGCAGGCGGUUUUCUAAGUCUGAUGUGAAAGCCUUCGGCUUAACCGGAGAAGUGCAUCGGAAACUGGAUAACUUGAGUGCAGAAGAGGGUAGUGGAACUCCAUGUGUAGCGGUGGAAUGCGUAGAUAUAUGGAAGAACACCAGUGGCGAAGGCGGCUACCUGGUCUGCAACUGACGCUGAGACUCGAAAGCAUGGGUAGCGAACAGGAUUAGAUACCCUGGUAGUCCAUGCCGUAAACGAUGAGUGCUAGGUGUUGGAGGGUUUCCGCCCUUCAGUGCCGGAGCUAACGCAUUAAGCACUCCGCCUGGGGAGUACGACCGCAAGGUUGAAACUCAAAGGAAUUGACGGGGGCCCGCACAAGCGGUGGAGCAUGUGGUUUAAUUCGAAGCUACGCGAAGAACCUUACCAGGUCUUGACAUCUUGCGCCAACCCUAGAGAUAGGGCGUUUCCUUCGGGAACGCAAUGACAGGUGGUGCAUGGUCGUCGUCAGCUCGUGUCGUGAGAUGUUGGGUUAAGUCCCGCAACGAGCGCAACCCUUGUUACUAGUUGCCAGCAUUAAGUUGGGCACUCUAGUGAGACUGCCGGUGACAAACCGGAGGAAGGUGGGGACGACGUCAGAUCAUCAUGCCCCUUAUGACCUGGGCUACACACGUGCUACAAUGGACGGUACAACGAGUCGCGAACUCGCGAGGGCAAGCAAAUCUCUUAAAACCGUUCUCAGUUCGGACUGCAGGCUGCAACUCGCCUGCACGAAGUCGGAAUCGCUAGUAAUCGCGGAUCAGCAUGCCGCGGUGAAUACGUUCCCGGGCCUUGUACACACCGCCCGUCACACCAUGAGAGUUUGUAACACCCAAAGUCGGUGGGGUAACCUUUUAGGAGCCAGCCGCCUAAGGUGGGACAGAUGAUUAGGGUGAAGUCGUAACAAGGUAGCCGUAGGAGAACCUGCGGCUGGAUCACCUCCUUUCUA
rnacentral:rRNA from 4 species